GAUGAACGCUGGCGGCGUGUCUAAGGCAUGCAAGUCGAACGCUCCGACGCAAGUCGGGGAGUGGCAAACGGGUGCGUAACACAUUGGUAAUCUACCCCUAACUGCGGAAUAACCUGCCGAAAGGCGGGCUAAUACCGCAUGUGUUCAAUUCGCUUAUGCGAGUUGAAUAAAGAUUUUUCGGUUAGGGAGGAGCCUAUGGCCUAUCAGCUAGUUGGUAAGGUAAAAGCUUACCAAGGCUACGACGGGUAGCGGGUGUGAGAGCACGACCCGCCUCACUGGGACUGAGACACUGCCCAGACUCCUACGGGAGGCUGCAGUCAAGAAUAUUCCUCAAUGGACGAAAGUCUGAAGGAGCGACGCCGCGUGACUGAUGAAGUCCUUAGGGAUGUAAAGGUCUUUUAUAAGGGAAGAACAAAUGACGGUACCUUAUGAAUAAGGGGUUGCUAACUCUGUGCCAGCAGCAGCGGUAAUACAGAGACCCCGAGCGUUAUCCGGAUUUAUUGGGCGUAAAGCGUGCGCAGACGGUUUCUUAAGUCCGUGGUUAAAUCCCGAAGCUUAACUUCUGGACUGCCAUGGAAACUGGGAAACUAGAGGGUGGAAGAGGCUAGCGGAAUUGCCGGUGUAACGGUAAAAUGUGUUAAUAUCGGCAAGAACACCAGAGGCGAAAGCGGCUAGCUGGUACACACCUGACGUUGUUGCACGAAAGCGUGGGUAGCGAAUGAGAUUAGAUACCUCAGUAGUCCACGCCGUAAACGAUGGAUACUAGUCAUUGGCAGUAUCGACCCUGUCAGUGGCGGUUAAAAUAGCUAACGCAUUAAGUAUCCCGCCUGGGAAGUACGGCCGCAAGGCUAAAACUCAAAGGAAUUGACGGGGGCCCGCACAAGCGGUGGAGUGUGCGGUUUAAUUCGAUGAUAAGCGAAAAACCUUACCAGGGUUUGAAAUGUAGCUGCUAAUCCCGAGAAAUCGGGACUCCUUCGAGGGUGCUACACAGGUGCUGCAUGGUUGUCGUCAGCUCGUGUCGUGAGAUGUCGGGUUAAGUCCUUUAACGAGCGCAACCCUCAUCCUAUGUUAAAUAUUCAUAGGAAACUGCCCUGCUAAACGGGGAGGAAGGCGGGGAUGACGUCAAAUCAGCAUGGCUCUUACACCCUGGGCAACACGCGCACUACAAUGGCCGGUACAAAGGGCAGCUAAACCGCAAGGUGGAGCAAAUCCCAUAAAGCCGGUCUCAGUUCGAAUUGAGGUCUGAAAUUCGACCUCAUGAAGUUGGAAUCGCUAGUAACCGUGAAUCAGCAUGUCACGGUGAAUACGUUCUCGGGCCU
rnacentral:rRNA from 1 species